rnacentral:lncRNA from 1 species
UGCCAUUGACAUUACAACACAUCACACUACAAGUUAUCUUGGGCCUAGCCCAGUUCCGAUACAUUUUCAAAGCAACAUGAAAUAUUAUAGGAGCCCAAAAUAUAGUUACAUGCAUUCAUUCUAGCAGUACAUAUCUUUACAUCCAACCAGUAAGUGCCAAACAGAACUAUUCUACAACAAAGAAAAGAAAAUAGAUGACAAGACAUCACAGAAGUUCCUAUUGUCCUCCUCCUUCAACAUUUGAAAACCUUCACCUGGCAGUAGAUCAAUCAUGAGUGAGAAACAAUACAGCAGCAAAACAAUACAGAAACAAUAUGGUUGAUUAUUCAAAGAAAUUAAACUAAGUGCAGGUCACCCAAAGCUGAAUUUCUUGCAAUUCAAACAACACAAACAGUAGGAAGAUGGUUGCAUAGAUACAAAUCCAUGUGGUAGCAGCAAAAUUGGCCAAUCUGGACACCAUCUUCUCUGUUUGGUACUAACUAAAAAAACUGGACUUGUUCAUACAAAUCCCUCUUGAAUUCCUUACACAGCCAGGAUUUGCAUCAAAUAUUCCUUAAUUUAGCGGCAUUUGUAAGCAGAGAAAGAGAGGGAGAGAGAUGGGGAUGCUACGUACCUUGUCCUGAAGUUCCAACGACCAGACCAGAGAGAAGUUGCUCCUCGUCUUCUUUCCUCAGCCCCAAAUUUGCCUGCAAUAACCACAAUUCAUUGCAUCAACCAGCGAUCUGAUCUCACAAGCGAUCUGAUCUCACAAGCCCCACCCGGGUGGUGGACUGGUGGUAGUACAGCAGCUAGAAGUCUCAUCACUCACCGGUUGAAAAGCUCGACCCGGUACUCCAUCUCCUUCUCCGCCAUCCCGAACAUCUGCAUCGCACAACCACCACCAUCAAUUGACCUCAAUCACAAGCUCAAAAUCAAAGAGGA